rnacentral:rRNA from 1 species
UACGUAGGGGGCUAGCGUUGUCCGGAAUCAUUGGGCGUAAAGCGCGUGUAGGCGGUCCGGUAAGUCCGCUGUGAAAGUCGGGGGGCUCAACCCUCGAAUGCCGGUGGAUACUGUCGGGCUAGAGUGCGGAAGAGGCGAGUGGAAUUCCUGGUGUAGCGGUGAAAUGCGCAGAUAUCAGGAGGAACACCAAUGGCGAAGGCAGCACUCUGGGACGUGACUGACGCUGAGACGCGAAAGCGUGGGGAGCAAACAGG